rnacentral:rRNA from 1 species
GAUGAACGCUGGCGGCGUGCCUAAUACAUGCAAGUCGAGCGAACGGACGAGAAGCUUGCUUCUCUGAUGCUAGCGGCGGACGGGUGAGUAACACGUGGAUAACCUACCUAUAAGACUGGGAUAACUUCGGGAAACCGGAGCUAAUACCGGAUAAUAUUUUGAACCGCAUGGUUCAAAAGUGAAAGACGGUCUUGCUGUCACUUAUAGAUGGAUCCGCGCUGCAUUAGCUAGUUGGUAAGGUAACGGCUUACCAAGGCAACGAUGCAUAGCCGACCUGAGAGGGUGAUCGGCCACACUGGAACUGGGACACGGUCCAGACUCCUACGGGAGGCAGCAGUAGGGAAUCUUCCGCAAUGGGCGAAAGCCUGACGGAGCAACGCCGCGUGAGUGAUGAAGGUCUUCGGAUCGUAAAACUCUGUUAUUAGGGAAGAACAUAUGUGUAAGUAACUGUGCACAUCUUGACGGUACCUAAUCAGAAAGCCACGGCUAACUACGUGCCAGCAGCCGCGGUAAUACGUAGGUGGCAAGCGUUAUCCGGAAUUAUUGGGCGUAAAGCGCGCGUAGGCGGUUUUUUAAGUCUGAUGUGAAAGCCCACGGCUCAACCGUGGAGGGUCAUUGGAAACUGGAAAACUUGAGUGCAGAAGAGGAAAGUGGAAUUCCAUGUGUAGCGGUGAAAUGCGCAGAGAUAUGGAGGAACACCAGUGGCGAAGGCGACUUUCUGGUCUGUAACUGACGCUGAUGUGCGAAAGCGUGGGGAUCAAACAGGAUUAGAUACCCUGGUAGUCCACGCCGUAAACGAUGAGUGCUAAGUGUUAGGGGGUUUCCGCCCCUUAGUGCUGCAGCUAACGCAUUAAGCACUCCGCCUGGGGAGUACGACCGCAAGGUUGAAACUCAAAGGAAUUGACGGGGACCCGCACAAGCGGUGGAGCAUGUGGUUUAAUUCGAAGCAACGCGAAGAACCUUACCAAAUCUUGACAUCCUUUGACAACUCUAGAGAUAGAGCCUUCCCCUUCGGGGGACAAAGUGACAGGUGGUGCAUGGUUGUCGUCAGCUCGUGUCGUGAGAUGUUGGGUUAAGUCCCGCAACGAGCGCAACCCUUAAGCUUAGUUGCCAUCAUUAAGUUGGGCACUCUAAGUUGACUGCCGGUGACAAACCGGAGGAAGGUGGGGAUGACGUCAAAUCAUCAUGCCCCUUAUGAUUUGGGCUACACACGUGCUACAAUGGACAAUACAAAGGGCAGCGAAACUGCGAGGUCAAGCAAAUCCCAUAAAGUUGUUCUCAGUUCGGAUUGUAGUCUGCAACUCGACUACAUGAAGCUGGAAUCGCUAGUAAUCGUAGAUCAGCAUGCUACGGUGAAUACGUUCCCGGGUCU